rnacentral:lncRNA from 1 species
UUGGGAAGACAAAAACAAGUCCCUAAGAUGGUGCACCCCUCUGCAUGUGAAGCAGCCUUGGCUGUGAGUUGGCUCUGUAUAGACUUUUUUCUUGUGAGUUCACAUUGGGUGUUUUAUCUUCUGACACUGUCGUCUGAUCCAAGUCAGGUGUAUUUUCUGCUGUGGAGUGAAUGAUGCCUUCAUCCCUUUAAAUCGAGGCAUCUAGGUUCCUAAGCAGCAUCUUGGUGUAUGUAUGGUCCUUCCAUGGAAAAUCAGCCAUCGAACCAAGCCAGUCUAACUGUGCCUGGUUUCUAAAUCAGACCUAAAGGAUUUCUAUAUUUGGGUUUGAGCUGAUGAUGCAGGUUUAUCUGGGGGGAAUUCUUAUAGACAGAUCCAGGCCAGGCCUGGCCGUCACUGGGCUCUUGAUCUUCCCAUGGCCACUGGGGAGAAGACACAGCCCCUCCUUGGGACUGUGGGCUGCUGCUGGACUCUUGUGUUCUCUCGGGUGAGAAUUUGAAAAGGUGCUUCUGAGUAAGAGUCCCUUCUGAGUAAGAGUCCCUUCUGAGUAAGAGUCCCUUCUGAGUAAGAGUCCCUUCUGAAUAAGAGUCCCUGGGGCCCCUUCGGCCUCUGCUGCUUCAGACCUGAGCAUUGGUUUUUGUUGCUGCUGCUGCUGCUGCUGCUGCUGUUCUUGUUUUCUUUGUUGUCUGGUCUCUGUUGCCAGACUGACAUAUUUUGCGUGUUACUUGGAAUUUUACAUAUCUGAAUGAUGAGCUAAACAGAAAGCAAAGGUUUGCUGCCAUUUCCCAGCGCUGUAUGAAAUCUGAGAAAGCAAAAUAAGUUUCGGCGUGGGCACCCUCUGGUUGGCCACCUCCCAUUCAUAAAUGGCCUGACUCCCUGAUGAUGCUGGGAAGCGGGCCCCGAACCGUUGACCAACCAGAGAGUUAAUCACAAAUUUUCAUUGCUGGAGGAAGGCUCUUACAGACCAUAGCCUGUUUGUCCUGUGUUUCAGCCACCUGAGUCAUAGACCAUGAUCAGGGAUAGUCUGCUCCAGAUGUCUGAAACAUAUGCCGAGGGGUAAGUGGCUAGGAGUCACAGCCAUGAAGCCCCACUUCCUAGGCUCUCAAAAAGGAACUGAACUCUUAAGAAGUUUUCCGUGGAUUUCUUCAUCAUUUCUUCAAGCGUUUGACCUCUAUUUGGCCUACUCAUUGUUGCCUCCUCCUCAGUGUUUCAUUGAAGGAGCUGUUUAAGACAUCACCUGGGCAUGCCUAGGGAACAUCUGUUUAGUACCUUCAUCUUCCUCUAAGUUAAAAAAUACUUCUUUUGGAUUUCAGUUUGUGUGAAGGGUUACAAACUUGGUUUUACCAACUUCCCUCUCUUCUGUUGAUAUGUGCCCUAGCACAUGGACACAAGGGGGAUGCUCCAAAGAACAAGGCCACGUGGAACAGGAGUGACCUCUGUCACUAGGAAGUGUUUAUGAAAUGUUAAAAAAAAAAUAAAAUGGGAGGGAUUUUGCCUGAAGUGGAAGUAGCUUGUGUGUGAAACAUCAGUUGACAAUGUCUCAUCUCUGACUCCAUCCGGGACUCUAAUUAAAUAAUAGCAGAAUGUGGAUUAAAGGGCAUUACAUUCCAGUGGAGGCUUUGGGGGCACUUUACCCUCUACUGAAGAGUCUAAUGGGUAAGUCUGAAGCGGCUUGUUUCCUAAGCUCUCUAAUAGACUGGAAUUCUCCCCUCUCUCAUCCCUUAUUCCUUAUAGCUUGAUGGCCUUAAGG